rnacentral:rRNA from 1 species
AACGCGAAGAACCUUACCUGGGUUUGAAAGGCAAGUGACAACCGAUGAAAGUCGGUCUUGUAGCAAUACACACUUGUACAGGUGCUGCAUGGCUGUCGUCAGCUCGUGCCGUGAGGUGUUAGGUUAAGUCCUGCAACGAGCGCAACCCCUGCACUUAGUUGCCAUCAGGUCAAGCUGGGCACUCUAGGUGGACUGCCUACGCAAGUAGCGAGGAAGGUGGGGAUGACGUCAAGUCCUCAUGGCCCUUACACCCAGGGCCACACACGUGCUACAAUGGCCACUACAAUGGGCUGCAAAAUCGCAAGGUUGAGCCAAUCCCAUAAAAGUGGUCUCAGUUCGGAUUGAGGGCUGCAACUCGCCCUCAUGAAGCUGGAAUUGCUAGUAAUCGCGGAUCAGCACGCCGCGGUGAAUACGUUCCCGGGUCUUGUACACACGC